rnacentral:misc_RNA from 1 species
AGUCUGUUUUCUCCAUGGAGCAGGGCCACCUUUUUAUGCAUUCAUUAUGCGAGUUACUUUCAUCUUGUAACCAUAAGUUGCUAGGUAGAUUUAACCUUUCUGAGUUUAUGCGGCUCAUUUUCACUGGCCAAAGAGGAUUUUGGGUGUUAGAAGAGCCUAAACCCCUCCCCUGGCCGCCUCGCGCGUUCAGAGUUUCUUAUAAGCAAUUUCAGGU